GUUGCACUUGUCAUCUUCACAAUCUAUUUAAUAUAUUAUUAGCCUGCAUAAUUUCAUUUCUACACGAUGAACACAAGGCUAUAAUUUUGAUUUCUGGAUUUCAAGAAAACUGAGGGAUGGUUAUUAUCUUUGUUAAAUGUAUUGACUACUGUGCAUUUGGCGUAUUUUUUUGUAUGCUUUAUGCUCUAUGCAUUUUUAAGUGGUUUAUAUGGGCUCCUGGAGGC
rnacentral:misc_RNA from 1 species